rnacentral:rRNA from 1 species
GAUGAACGCUGGCGGCGUGCCUAACACAUGCAAGUCGAGCGAACGGACGAGAAGUUUGCUUCUCUGAUGUUAGCGGCGGACGGGUGAGUAACACGUGGAUAACCUACCUAUAAGACUGGGAUAACUUCGGGAAACCGGAGCUAACACCGGAUAAUAGUUUGAACCGCAUGGUUCAUAAGUGAAAGACGGUCUUGCUGUCACUUAUAGAUGUAUCCGGGCUGCAUUAGCUAGUUGGUAAGGUAACGGCUUACCAAGGCAACGAUGCAUAGCCGACCUGAGAGGGUGAUCGGCCACACUGGAACUGAGACACGGUCCAGACUCCUACGGGAGGCAGCAGUAGGGAAUCUUGCGCAAUGGGCGAAAGCCUGACGGAGCAACGCCGCGUGAGUGAUGAAGGUCUUCGGAUCGUAAAACUCUGUUAUUAGGGAAGAACAUAUGUGUAAGUAACUGUGCACAUCUUGACGGUACCUAAUCAGAAAGCCACGGCUAACUACGUG